AUGAUGGCGGCUUCCCUCCGCACGACGGCGACGAGGAUCCUGCGUCUGGCGGGGCAGGGGCUUCGCCGGCUCGUCCACACCCAGCAGCAAUCUAGAUCCACCCCUUCGUUGGAGGACCGUGCAGCGCAAAUCCAGCAGAAGAGGGAGGAGCUGUAUGAUCUCAUCGCCCGUGCUCAGUCCAAGAAGGUUGGUCUAUUUUCCACGGCUUCCCAGGAAGACAGACAUAUGCUCAGGAUUCUCUGCACACAAAUCAAGCCAAGACCAAAUGACCCUCAAUGGUACAAUAUCUAUCAACCAUAUUUCCUGUGUUUUCCCUCUGCUACAGGACUUGACCCUCGAUGGUACAAUAUUGACCAUAUGUUUCCAUAUGUAGACAGCUAUUUGCUCUGA
rnacentral:rRNA from 1 species